CGGGGACUGGGAUGCGCUUACUGCUGCGCUGCUGCUCGGUCAGCCAGCGUCUGGGAUGGGAGCGCUCCUGCAUUUUACAUGACUGCGGGGCCUGUUCCUUGCGCCUGUCUGGUCGCGUCACAUCAUGGAGGGUUUCUCGGGGCGGCCGGCCGCCUCUGAGCACAGCCAGGGUGGUGUUUGCAGCACAGCUGCUGCCUAGGCCUCGCUGCGGAGGUGCUGGGCCACGGCCCCGUGGAGGCAGAGCCGCAGGGCCAUCGACAUGUCCUUUGAAAACGGGCAUUUCCCCAACUCAUGCAGGUGGAGGGGAGAGCGAAGCCAAAUGGGACACCGGCCCCCACACACUGCCCCGGCUCCUGCAUUUCCGGAGAUGGAAACCUGGAGAGCAGCUGGGAUCUUGAAAACGUGGGUUGGACUGCGUCACCCCGACCCCUGCCUCAAAGCCCCUCCGUGGUUGCCUACAGCACAGCUUGAAGCCCCUUGGUUCUGCUUCCCGGGCCUGCAGCGCUGGCCCCAGCCUGGCCGAGCGAGCAUUUGUUCACCCAAGACCUUUCCCCUCCUGCCCUCGUGGAGCCUCCACAAGGAGUAAACAACCACUUCUGUGAGCCUUGAUCUCCCUGUUUGUAAAAUGCAGAUAAAACGCCUUCCUAGCUGAGCAGUAGGAUCGGGGGCCGCCCCCUGCUCAGCAUGGGCCUGGGUGCAGGAACAGGAAUUUUCUUUCUGCUCUGUGAGCCUAUCUUUUCAAGGGUAGGGUCCAUGUUUUCUCCAUUUCAGGGUCCCUCAAAGCAUCAACUCUGUGCCUUGCAGACAGCGGACACGUAACACAGCCACGCGGCGUGAACAUGAGCAGACUUCUUUUUUCCAGGAUGUGCACGGUUUCCACGACAAUGCCCACUGCACGCCUUAUGGCCUCACCAGAGACGUAAAGCAGAUGCCAAGAAACUUCCCCCCAAAAUGGGCUGGCUUGCCAAGCCCAGGACCGCCUGUCCAGCUGGGGCUGGGGGCAAGGAUCCCAUUUUCUGUGACUCUCUUUGCUCUGAUGGUCAGGUUCACCGGCCGUACGUGUAAUCUGAAGCAUUCGGUAGCGAUCUAAUUAAAUGUUAACACAUCAUUAAAGUGAUUUGCGA
rnacentral:lncRNA from 1 species